CAAGAAAGUACACUCCUGAUAUAUUACGGAUGCAUUUUUUUCCUUUGAAAAUCUAUUUUUCUUAGAUUCUUCAAGGCCUGGUUGAAGUAAUAUACAAAAAGAAAUUUACCAGCUAUAAAAUAAUCUUAAUAGCAUGGUAUAUUCAAAAAGUAAAAUCACAAAAAUACUGAACUCCGACGAACAUUUAAAACGAAAAGUCCCUUAUCAAAUGGCUAAAUCGAAAGCUCAAACACAUCAAACGAAUGGAUAACAACUGUCAUAAUCAGACUUGGUAGAUUAAAUCUGGUUUUAUAGCUAGAUAAACCUCUCACUUGUAUGACAGUCUCAUCAAAUUUCAUUAUAUUGACAACGUUGUGUGAACAAAACAAUUAGACAUAGUAGGUAAAAAUGUCACAAACAGGGUUACAGCAGUCAACAGUGUGUUAUAAUCUUAAUCACUAUAAAACAAACAACAAAUAUGUAACAACAAGGCAUAUAGACAAAGCACAUUAGCAAAAAUAAAAAAAACCAAGAAUACUAAAAUCAUCAAUAGAACAAUAAAACAAUGAGGGAUGUAAAAGUACAGAGCCAUGUCAUAUGUUUUAAAGAACUCAAAAAAGCAUAAAGACAAAGCACAUUAGCAAAAAUGAAAGACAAGAAUAUUUUUUCUAUCAUAGACCAAUAAAUAAAGGCAACAGUAGUAUACCGCUGUUCGAAAUUCAUUAAUCAUUGAGAAAAAACAAAUCGGGGUUACAAACUAAAACUGAGGUAAACACAUCAAAUAUAAGAGGAGAACUACAGCACAACACUAAAAAGUAACACACACAGAAACAAACUAUAAUAUUGCAAUGGCCAUUUUCCUUACUUGUUACAGAACAUUUCAAGGAAAAAAUGGUGGGUUGAACCUGGUUUUGUGGCUGGCCAAACCUCCCAUUUUUAUGGCAAUGUUAAAUAUAAUUAAAUGAUAACAUUGCAUGACAGGUCUACAAUACAAAUAAAUGAGAGAACAUAUAGGACAAACAAACACACACAUAAUAGCUAUCAAAAGGUACCAGGUUUAUAAUUUAAUACGCCAGACGAGCGUUUCGCCUUCACACAAAACUAAUCAGUGACGCUCUGAUCAAAAAAGUUCGAAAGCCAAAACAAGAGCAUUGAGG
rnacentral:lncRNA from 1 species